rnacentral:lncRNA from 1 species
AUGACAGCCCAGCCAGAGGACAAGGCCUCAGCAGGCCCCACGGACCAGGAGAGACUAAUCCCAUCACAGGCGAAUGGAGCUGGUGAGACCCCCUUAAGGGUCCUUGGGACCCCAGAGUCACUCCUUCGCCUUCAGAGGACAUGCGGGGUGUGGCAGAUCCCAGAGCUGGAUGCCCACAGUGCGAAAGCCCUUCUGGACCUGUGGCCACCAGGGAGUUUCCUGGUCAUAGGACAUGAUCCCAGACAGGUUCUGGUGUUGAAGACAGGACCUUCAUCAGGGGAAGUCAACACCUACCAGAUCCAGAAGCUUCCUGGAGGUGUGUGUCUGGAAUCCUCUAAGCUCUGCAUGCCAGAUCUGCCCCAUCUCCUGGCCUUCCUAUCAGCCAGCAGGGAUAUUUUGCCUAGAACAUUGCUCUUGCCCCCUCCUACCCUGGGGCCUGAAGACCAAAACACAGAUCCUCUGCAGAUUGACAGCAUCCAACUCAACACUUCAAGGAGGGUGGUCUUCCUGGUGAACAAGCUCUACCUGGAGACCCACAGAGGAUGGGGGAUGGAGCAGACCCUGGCAGAGACAACUCCAGAGACUGCAGAGAGACACGGUCCAGCCCCCAGGAACCCAGCCCCUCACCGUGUUUCCUGGGUGGAAGGCCCGCUCAGCCCAGAGGAACACCAUAUUAGGCCAGCUCUGGCCAGCCUGGUGGAGGAGAAGGAGGAAAAGGAGGAGGAGGAUGACCAAGAUGAUGAAGAAGGGCCUGAGGACAUGCUCACUCAGCACGUCCGGGCUCUAGCCAGGGCCCGGAGCAGCUACGUGGCCAAGCAGUUCCGAGGGUUCCGGGCACGCCUCACCUCAGAUGCUGGGGGCCCCCACAGGCCUGGGGACCCGGCCACAGAGCUGCUUCAGGACGUCCGGCACCUCCUUACUGACCUCCAGGAUCAUUUAGCAAAGGAUCCCGAUGUCAGGGCUGUCUUCAAAAGCAGGGGGCCUGGGGCCCCCCAGAAGGAGGAGGAUCUAGGCCCCGCAGUGGAGGCGGCCUUGUGCCGCGCGGUGCUGGCGCCUCUGAAGCCCGCCCUGUGGAUGCGACUCCGCACGCUCCGCGCCUCACAGCUGCGGCAACUGCGGCGGCGACAGGUAGCCCUGCGGGCGGAGGCGGGGCCUCCGGGAGCCCAGGGGGCGGGGCGUGAGAGGCGAAGCCCCGCCCCCGCCCUACGGAGCCGCAUUCAUGCGCGCCUGGCGCACCUCCACGCUGCCUGCGUCCCGCGCCGCAAGGUGUCGCUCCUGCUGGCGGUGUGCAGUGACGUCUACGAGGGUCUGGCUCGUGGGGAGAACCAAGAGCCCCUGGGGGCCGACGCAUUCCUGCCAGCGCUGACAGAGGAACUGAUCUGGAGUCCAGACAUUGGGGAGACGCAGCUGGACGUAGAGUUUCUCAUGGAGCUCCUGGAUCCGGACGAACUACGGGGAGAAGCCGGGUACUACCUGACCACGUGGUUUGGGGCGCUGUACCACAUUGCCCACUACGAGCCUGACACGGCCCGCGCGCCCAAGGGCCUCAGCUCUGAGGUCCGAGCCUCCCUCCGCCAGUGGCACCGCAGGCGGACUCUGCACAGACAGAGCCCCGCCGGGGACCAGGCCAAGCUGCCCUUUGAGGAACCAUGGGCGAUAGAGAUUAUGCAAGAGACCAACGAUGAUUAGAGAUCUCAGACCCUUCUGCCCCACAAGCAAGAUUCAGGAGGCAUCUGGGACAGCACCAACUUCUGACCCCUGUCGUUUAGAGGCAGGGGUUUCCAGGAAAAGGAAACAGGUCUGAGGAAAGACCUCUGAACCUUUACAUUGGCUGUUCCUGUUCCUGGCAUGCCAUUCCCCAUUAUCCACCUUGCUCCUUCCUUCCCUUCUUUCAGACCCUUUAGGUAGACAUCACCUUCUUAGUGAGGCUCUCUCAGGCACUGCUGUCUAAAACUACAGCUUCUCUGACUGGAUCCUCCUUGGGGUAAACGGAAUAAUGCCCCUCCCAAGAUGUCCACCUGCUAAUACCCAUAAUCUGUGAAUAUUUUACCUUAAGUGGUAAAAGGGACUUUGAAAAGCGAUAGUGUUAGUCUCUCAGUCGUGUCCAACUCUU